UUGCUGAUCGGUUCGCCUGUGUGCACUUGUACGCAUGGUCGCCACCCCUUGAGCUAAAUAAUCGUGGGCUCCCAUAAAGGAAGUAAAGAUACUGAAAUAUAUGAUAUGAUAUUACUUCCAUGUCAGCUUUGCUACUAAUCUUGGACCAAAUUGGGGAUCAUUUUUCUCUCUCGUGUGACGUUAGAAAAGUUGUGUACAUCAUGUGCUUAAAUCUCUAGACAGCCAAUAAAGGUCAGGUGAUAAAACCACGAUAUUACCAUAACAAGCAAAUCAAGUUAAUUUCAGGUGACGACAGGAUGAACACCGUCCACCGCUCGUAUUGCAUGCGCCUACAUCACGCGAUUUCUCAGUUCGCUAGGAUUUGAUCCACUCCUUUUGCUGAUGAUAUAUCCGCUACAUUAUCCUCUCCCCCUCCAACAACUUGGUCGACUGUCGUUGUUCAACAGUGAAGCAGGAGUCAACAUGGGUGUCUGAAGUUGUGAACCCCUGCUGGAUUCUGUACUUAGCAAACAACAGUCUAGUUGGUCGCUGCUGGAAGAAAUAAGAUCCCUGUUUGGGUUCAGCAUUUGGGAUGUCUACCACUUGGAAGACUGUCUGACACAGUAAGGUUAUCUCACGCAAAAUUAUAAUCUUAAGCGAUACAUAGUGUCUGCAGCCCUAUAAAAUUACUAUCUUGUGAUGUUAACUCGGGGAGAUUGGAGGCCUACAAUGUCCCCUUUCUCAAGGAAUGUAUUUUUAUAUUUUGAAACACUGUUCCUCAGAAAGCAGAUUUUCAUGUGCCAGUGAGUAUCAAAUGUGUCUGUGUUCUAGUUACAAGUUGUGUUCUAUGUCUCACCAACUUUUCUGCAUUUGCCCAUGGAAAAGUGGGUGAAGUGCACGUAAAAGAGUUACAUUUGGGACUGAAGAAAGCCAUUGCAACAGAACAAACCCGAGAUGCUGCUGCCUUAAUCAGCAUGCUCAUUGAGGAGUUAAUGUGGUCAAGCUCUGAGGCACUCACACUUUCAUCUUACAUGGACAAGACAAUUGGAAAUUUCGAAUAAAGAUUGUUAAUUUCUCU